rnacentral:rRNA from 1 species
AUGGAACACUUUGAAAGUCCUGUGGAGAAAAACAAUGAAGUUCCUACUAGGAGCAAGAGACAGAGGACUGCAAAGUCCUUUGGUGAUGAUUUUCUUGUGUAUCUCAUAGAUGACACUCCCAGUUCUAUUUCGGAGGCCUAUGCAUCGGAAGAUGCUGACUACUGGAAGGAAGCGGUUUGUAGCGAGAUGGAUUCCAUCUUGGCGAAUGAAACUUGGGAGAUAACUGAUCGUCCUUAUGGGUGCAAACCUAUAGGAUGCAAAUGGGUAUUCAAGAAGAAGCUUAGGCCUGAUGGUACUAUUGAAAAGUACAAGGCUCGGCUCGUGGCUAAGGGUUAUACCCAAAAGGAAGCUGAAGACUUCUUUGAUACUUACUCACCUGUGGCUCGACUGACCACUAUUCGAGUUCUACUUUCACUAGCUGCCUCACAUGGUCUUCUCGUUCAUCAAAUGGAUGUUAAGACUGCUUUCCUGAAUGGAGAGUUGGAUGAGGAAAUUUAUAUGGAACAACCAGAUGGGUUUGUAAUAGAUGGUCAGGAAGGGAAAGUGUGCAAGUUGCUGAAGUCUUUGUACGGACUCAAGCAAGCACCCAAACAGUGGCAUGAGAAGUUCGAAAGAACUUUAACAGCUGCAGGCUUUGUUGUGAACGAAGCUGACAAAUGUGUGUACCAUCGCCAUGGUGGGGGCGAGGGAGUUAUGCUUUGCUUGUAUGUUGAUGACAUACUGAUUUUCGGAACAAAUCUGAAUGUUAUUAAGGAGGUCAAGGAUUUCCUAUCUCGCUGUUUUGAGAUGAAGGAUUUAGGAGUGGCUGAUGUCAUUCUGAACAUCAAGUUGUUGAGAGAUGAUGAUGGUGGGAUUACAUUGCUUCAAUCUCACUAUGUGGAAAAGAUCUUGAGUCGCUUUGGCUAUAGUGACUGCAAGCCCUCUCCAACACCAUAUGAUGCUACCAGUGCUACAAGACCUGACAUCUCUUUUGCUGUUAGCAAGCUGAGCCGGUUUGUCUCAAAACCGGGAGAUGUGCAUUGGAAAGCUCUAGAGAGAGUUUUGCGUUAUUUGAAAGGCACUGUAAAUUAUGGAAUUCACUACACUGGGCAUCCAAAGGUGCUUGAAGGGUAUAGUGACUCAAUCUGGAUCUCAGAUGCUGAUGAGAUAAAGGCCACGAGCGGAUAUGUGUUCACUCAUGGAGGUGAUACAUCUACGGUUGAAACAGAUUGGCUUCGCCGGCUCUUGAAUGACUUGCCGGUUGUUGAGAAACCUGUACCGGGUGUCCUUAUGAACUGCGACAAUCAAACUGUGAUCACAAAAGUGAGCAGCUCAAAGGAUAACAUGAAGUCAUCAAGACAUGUUCAGAGAAGGUUAAAGUCUGUCAGGAAAAUGAGAAACUCCGGAGUUAUUGCAUUGGAUUAUAUCCAAACGUCUAAAAAUCUGGCAGAUCCUUUCACUAAGGGUCUAUCACGUAAUGUGAUAGAUAAUGCAUCGAGGGAGAUGGGUAUGAGACCCACA